AAAGAUAUUGGGGCACCUGAGUGGCCCAGUUGAGUGUCUGUUGAUUUCAGCUCAGGUCAUGAUCACAGGGUCAUGGGAUCAAGCCCCGCAUCAGGCUCUGUGCUGGGUGGGGAGCCUGCUUAAGAUUCUCUCUCUCCCUCUGCCCUCACCCCCACCUCUCAAAAAAAAGAUAGCCCCCAGUAGGUUAAUUAUGCCAAUAUAAUCUUAGGCACGUUUAACUUAUUUGAGUUCAAAGUAAUCUUCAAACAUCUUCUCCGUGUGCAUAUAAAUUGAUGUUCGUAACCACAGUGUAUAUUAGUGAACUGCAAGAGAGUGUCUGUCCUUUGGACAUUUGUGGCUGUGUGGAUCCGUGUUCCACCAAAUUGUUGCUGUUUAUCUCUCUCUGCCUCCCUCCCCCGUUUGCUCUGCCAUGCUUUUCUUUUAUAUUCAUCAACUUAAAUUUCCAUAUACAGGAAGUGUGUGGGACCAAAAGAGGAUUUUUGUUCAUUUACCUACCAACAGAGGGGAUGUCCUAGACCAAUCCCCAAGGAUGGUUUUUUUUCUUGCAUCUGACUAAUGAAAUAAUCAUCUAUUGGAGCAACUUCCUCUCAUGUUCCCCUUUCUACAUCAAAGGGCAGCAUAACGUGGGGGUUAAACCUCUGGCCUGAGCUUAGAUCUUGCCUCUGUAACUCUUCUGCCUUUGAAUUUUCCUCUGUAAGUUGGGGAGAUCACACCUGUGCCAGAGGAUCCCUGGAGGAGUAAAUGAGGUGAUAGCAUGCAAAGCACUUGAGUGGUGGUCAAUAUAUGAGUGGGAGCUUUCAUCACUUGAAUCCGUUUUCUGCUCUUUCUUUUCCUCUGCCUCCCUCUUCAUCUUAUGGACACUCAAGUAGGAGUGACUCUUGUGCUGCAGCAGCGAUGGCCUGGAAAUGGCUCCCCACCUCCCAUGUCAUUGUAGGGAAGAAAGGGUAAUGAUGAAGCAGAGUGGCUGAGCAUCCUGUGUAUUGACUUCUGUGGAAAGAUCUAUCCACCUGGAAACCCCUGUUGUGGUCCUGUGACCAUGUAACCACCUGCUUUCUUGGGUGGCUCUGCUAAGAGAUGUAUGCCUCACCAGCCAGGGCUGUGUGUUUCAUCUCUGUCUCCCACCAUCCUCCGACCCUGUGCCAAAAAAAGAGCUUGAGGGGAGAAAGGGACAAGUGGAACUUACAUACAUGUCUUUUGGGGCUCUCAAGCCUUUCCAACAUGCUGUAAGUAUUGUGAGUUGGGUUUCUUCUUUUUGCUCUUUGGUGACACCUUUGGGCCACGUAGUGAAGAAUUACCAGUCCCCCUAGUUGUGGGUGAUGGGCUUCGGGGUAGGGAGAGGCAGGAUUAUGGGUCUCCAAAGGUAGCCCUCUCCCUGGCCUGCCAUUCCCCCCAGUGUAAAUCUCUUAGAUACUUUCUUCUUAACUCCCCCUACAAGAUGGUAAAGUGUGUUUCACUUUACCUUUACCAGGGAGGUCCCCAGAUAGGAAAAAUGGACCCUUCUGUUGAAAGAGAAAGGGAACAUGAGGAAAUUGAGAAAAUGGAGAAAAGUAUGAAAGUAGUUUUUACACAAAGGAGACAAUGUGAUGUUGAUUAAUUUAAGAAUUGGGAUUAACCUGAUAUUACUUUGUUUUUCAGCCCGAUUAGAGAUGUGGAGCUCUUGGCAUGGGUCUUGAUAUAGUACAUUGUGUACUGUACAUACGGGUGUGGCAGGAUAAAGCUUCUCAAGGUACAACAGUCCUGUCUUAAGAUUAACAAAGUACAUCAAACUAAGCAAGAUUUCCCCCUCUUGAUUCCAGCUAAGACUCCCUGAGCAUAUUUUUACAUCUAAUGAAGUAUCUCUGAGCUUUCAUAAAAGAGUGGGCACAAUGCUCCUAAGUUUAAAUCAGCUAAAUGCAUAUGAAAUCAUAGCAGUACCCAUUAUGUGUUACAGCCGGGAUGGCGCUAAGCACUUAAUGCAAGAGGUUGUAGGAAAUCAACUCAUAUUAGAAAUGAUGUCGGUUCCUGGAAUUUAGUGUGUCUCCCAAGGGGAUUGAAUAUUGUGGCGACGUCGCCAAAGUGUGUCUUCUCUUUUCUUCAUCAGCCCUUCCACUCUGAUUACAGGCAGCUUAAAAAUAAAUUUGGGCAUGUCUCGGUGGCCAAAAACCAUGGAGAUCAGGAUGAAAUCAUUUUCAAGGCAGAAAUAACAAGCUUUGAUAAAGAUAUUCAAAGAAACACAGUCUAAUAGCAUAAGCACGUCGUGGUUAGACCCUUUAGGCACUAAAUUAAAUUGGAUUUAGAGUCGGAGGUCUCCUGAGAAGCCAUGAUACCUUGGGUAAGUCACUUAAAUUAUGAGCCCCCCCCCAUUUCCUCACCUGGAACAUGGCAGCCAAUUACAGGAUUAUCAUGAGGGUUAAAUUACAUUAAAUGGGCUAGUCAGUGAACGGACCUGGGAUUGUUAGCACUCAGUAAAUUUUAAUUCAGAGUGAGAAUCUGGUAUUUAAAGAUUACUUCCUAAAAGUAAUCUUUAAAUAAAUAUAAAGAUUGUAGUUCAGUCUCUGGACUCUCAGUCCCAGAUUUCUGUGUUGUUGGACUGAGUCUUUGCAAAGCCUCAGGUGCUUCUCUAGGUACAUGAGAAGAUUUACUUAUUUAUAGUCCCAGCUCUGCUAUUAAGUGUCUUAAGCAAGUAGUCAACCUCUCUGGGUUUUACUUCUUCAUCUGUAAGAUGAGAAUAAUCUGUGCCCUUCUUAUUUACAAGUAUGUCAUAAAUAUAACAUAAGUUAACCAAUUAGAAAAUUGACCAAACUAAAUUCAAAUUAAAGUGUAAAUUGGGUUAGCAUUCUUAUUUCCAUUGGGUUUUAGGUGGCAAGAAGAGAAAACAUGUGGCGACAAUUUGAAGGUAGGUCAUUUACACAGAGCACUGAAUUUGGAGUCUACCAAGUUGAGGCUCUAGGGCUAGUUUACCAGGAUUGGGUUGUAUGUCCCUGGUCACUGAAGUUCUCAAGGCCUCAGUUUUCUUACCUGUAAAACAUGGGUGCUAUUUUUAGCUUGAUGACUCUGCUCUAAGACUCCAUAAGCUGGAAGACUAACAUUCACACUUUGGUGGAAAAGAAUGCAAAGCCUCUUGGGUUGAUGGUGCUGCUCCCAAGCAAGUAGAUGGAUUAAGAAUCUGACAUUCUGCCACUCGUAAAGAGUGAUGGAGUUUAAAAACUAAAGCUGAAAAGCAAAAGACAUUUGACACCUUUGGGGAAAAAACUCAACAGCACUCAAGCUAGUUUCUUCCUUAAAAAUGGUCUUCAUUCUGAAUGGGAACCACUGGCUUCUCUUUGGUAUUCAACAUAUCUGAGUAACCCUGGAAGCAAAUUAUCUGGCUGGAAUUAUCGCUCCAAGAUUUGGAUUUUUUUUUUCUAGCAGUGUUUUAUUAGCCAGACAAAAUAAUUUUUUAAAAAGAGCAAAAAAACCAAAACCAAAAACAAAAAAAACUCCAAAGGCCACAGCUAGCUCUUUUGAUGGCAAUGUCUCUAGAAGAGCAGUAGCCAUCUCUGCUUUUGGCUUGCUCCUCUGCAUGUCUGGACUCAGAUUUGUAGGGACCCCCCUCCCAAAUCCAUGUCAGUAGGUUUCACCUCCCAGCUGGCUGCUGUGGGUUGGUAGGUGCCUUGAAUGUCAUCAUGAAAGACUGAAGCUUGGUCUGAGCUCAGCGGAAAGAGUUCUAUGAUGAAUUAGGGAUGUCUGCCAUAGGCUUAGGUGGGACAGUAUUUGUGCCAGGUAUUUGCUGUCCUGACAGAGCAAGUUGGGAAGAUCCUUUAGUACUGGUCCCUCCACUGGGCAGAGGAUCAGGGACUCGGGCCAGUGCUCUUUCUGGUGUCCUGGAAGAGUGUUAUUCCAAGCCCCUGGCACUACUAUUUUGUUCUCUGCAGGAGGCUUAUUCUGGUUAGUUUGAUAGAAUAGAAGAAGGGAAGACUAUUGAUUCUGCACCAUGGUCACAGGACAGGAAUUGCAACAUGUACUGAAGUUGUAAUUCCAACAGUCCCCAUCAGGUUCCAGUAGAUACUCCAGUGGAAGGCGGACUUGGGUGGGUGCUCACUGCUUCAGUGAAGGCUGCCAUAAACCACCGAGCCUGGCAGGCUGUGGCCAGCGGUCACGGCUGCGGAUUCCCUGGAAACCUGGACCUUGGAAUGGCAAGGAGGCUGGGCCCCCCAGUGCUCCACACUGCGAUUCCUGACGUUUAAAACAGAAGUGGCCCCAUCUUCUUUAAGAAGGCAUUGGAGAAUUUACCAGUCUGCUUAGGCUUGGGAUGACCUUCCGUUACCUGUGCUAAUGGAACCAAUAUUCCACGUUUAUUUCUCACCAGUUUUAGAAUGAGCUUUAUGUUUUGGUGUGUUGAUCUGCUUUCCUGCUGAUGUUUGAACCCAUAAUGCUUCUUGCAGCCCCCUGCCCCAUUAUGCUUCCCACAACCAGCCAGCCUCUCCCAGUUUUAGAUCCAUGCCCUGCACCAGUGGACUAAUAACAGUCGCAUUUUAUUGAGAACUUACUAUGUGUUCCCUGGGAUCAAGGUCACUGUGUGACAAGGGGUGGGUCCAAGAGUGUGUGAGGCAGUGAGGUGAAGUGAGGUUAAACAUUGUGGAGAAUAUAGAAAAGAGUGGUGUGAGAGAGUUCGCCGAGAGUGGACCUGACUUCCUCUGCUACUGUGGUUUCCUCUUGUUUCCAAUGACUGCACUUGAGUUCUGCAUACGAUUAACUUUCAAUUAUCCUGAGGCCGAUUAACUGGUUUGCAGAUUAACCAAGGUGAAGGCUCACCUGGGCUUGGGAGGUGCUCAUCAACUCAGCUGCUCCAAAAUUAGCUGGUUAUGGCUGAUUGCCUACCCAUGGUCAAGGAGCCUGGGGGCUGGGCUGCUGCAGGGGAGGGGAUCAAAGGAGCAGUGUCUUCUAGGACCUUCUACUCACUUCAGCCAGAGGAACCUAUUGGCCUGUAAAGUCCUGCAAUCCCCAGAAUAAUCGCUGAGAGGUUCAGGGUACUCUGCCCCUGGUACCUCCAGCCUCAACACACUCUCCAAAUUGGGAAGAUGAAAUUGGCCAAAGGGCACAGUGAAUUGGAAAAUUCUGGAGAUUAAGUGAUCUACUGUGUUGAAAGGAGGCCCAAUGAGCAGGGGUGGCUAAUACCCCCUUUUCUUCCUCAUCCUGUGUACCUCCUGCCCAAAGAUGUAGAUUGACAGGCCUGAGGCACUGAGCAAUGCAUCCCUCUUGAGGUCAGAGGAGGCCAAGGCCACAGGGGCCAUGAGGCAGGAGUUGUCCACAAAAGCAAGCCAUUCAUGGUUCAGGCCUUCCCAUGGUGAUUGUUGUAGUUACUUAUGAGUCCCUCCCCAUGGUUGCCUGGGUUCAUGGAUAGUUGACUGCAUUUGCUGGGCCCCUGGGGGGUGAGGGAGUAGAAGUAUGUGUGUUUGCCACACCUUACACCAGAUCCGAAUAUACACAAUUUAACCUAGGAGUCAAACUGCCGUAUUUGGGGUAAUCUCAGUUUUGGGGGGAGGUGCCAAGAGUCCCAAGUAUACUCCAAAUCUUGAGAAAGUGUCCGUGAAGGCCUACCAAGAAAGCAUAAAUAUUUGUAUAGGAUUAUGUUUGAUGGGAUUCCAUGGAUUACAUUUAUUUUUUAAGCAGCAUUCACCUGAGCACCUGACUUGGCUUUUCCUCUCUGACUCUGUUCUCAUUUUGCAUUCGCCAGGCCUGGAAUGCCUUGCCUGGAUACAACUGAGUUUGCCGGCAACUGCAGUCCCUUUUUGGCCAGGCCCAUGGGUUUCCCUGGGUCCUUCUCCCUGGCUCACGUUUCCCUAGGGCUGUUGGUGUGUACCGUCUAGAGAUCACAUUUUAUUAACACAAAGAAAUCUGCUUGGGCUGCCUGGCUCUUGCAGUCACGUGGAGAGAAAUGUGCUCCUUUGGUACACCAGCCUGCAGCUCUCUGUGCAAAAUACAGUCAAGAGCUGGGCACUGGGCCAAGCUUACAUUUCACUUUGGAACACACUUUCACAUCACUCCUUGGCAGAACAUCCACGGCAGUGUCUAUUUGGGGAGUAAGUUAGAGAAGUGUUGUUUCCCUCUUAUGAGUGUAGAGAGAUAGGACCUUUAAAAAAUAUUUGACUUUUCCCCAUCUUUGCCAUCUUCAGGGUGCCCAGGUAUUAAGGCGAUCCAACCAAACAUGGAAGCUGUGUCUCAGUGGCAUCCCAUCCCUCCCACCAUCUCUUGUUUCCCUUGCUAAAUCGGUAAACAUAGCCAGGACCGCCUGGGACAGAGAAACUUAGGCCAAGGUAAUAACAUCAAAACCAAAGUCCUGGAACUCUUGAGUAAACUAGUUACCCUCCCAGAUAAAACAACUUUGUUGUCCAAAUCUUUCUUUCCAAAGAUCUAAGACUUUCAAAUGUUGGUCCAGGGCCAACCACUGAAGGAAGGAACUUCAGCUAGCCUCCUGGAAUGGCAAACACUGCUAAAAUAAACAAAUGGGCCUCUUCCAUUCAGUUUUCCCUCACUGGUCUAUUUUUAUUUAUCCUCUUCCCCCACCCCGUGUACUUUACUGCUUUGUAAUACCCCACCCCCCUUUCUCUACCUCUGUUUCCUCUCCAUCUUACUCCUCUCAGAGACCAAGUUGAUCAUUUUGCCUUCGGGAAAACAAAUAUCUUAAUUUCAAAAGGAAGACUCCGAGAAGAGAGGUGAUAUGCUUCUUUUGGUCUAUCCCCUCAUACUCAGUUAUUAUAGAUGGCUGCCUAGCGCCUGACUUGGGCUUGAAAAUAAAGUUGGUUCUGGAAUUUUCAGCUCUCCUUAAGAAAGAUCAAAAUGAUUUGAAAGCAAAGAUUUAUGGGAAUAAUGCUAACUUCUCCUCUCUCGAUGAAACAGACCCCUCUUGUAACAAAUGACUGAAAAUAAACUCUUCCUUUCCAGUCAUGCCAACCCAUAAAUUUCAUAGGGAUUUCCCAAGUGCUCAGCCUUAUUCUGAUUCUAGUGUUUUCUGCUUUGGACUGUUGCUGUCAGUACCAUGGAGCCAAGCAACAAUGAAUCUAGAUUUAAAGAAACGUUUUCCAGCAAGGUGCAUAUAUCAGGCUGCUGCUUCAUAGGACAGGCCACCCAUGGGAAGCCCCUCAUUUGUAAAAGAGGCCCAGAACCUCAGGGACCAAGCUGCAGCCUCCUGCUGGUCACCUGGGGAAGCCUUUGCUUACUCUGCAGAAGGGAGGUGACAGAAACCCAUUCCACCUGUCUCAAAAACCUGCUGGUAAUUAGCUUUCAAAAUAAUGCCAAGUCCUCACAUGGCUAGUAGAUGCACACGCUCCUUGGGGGGGUGGAAAGAGUGCUACUUCACAGAGUUAGACCGUUGCGAUCACAUUAGUCAUUCCAGGCGAGGUCAGAGAAGGUUAUUGGAGAGAUGGAAGUCGCCCUGCAGUUUCAAAGAGGUCUCCUGAAAGUAUUGAGAAAUAGUUGAAGUUCAGAAGUUUAUUUGAAGCUUUGUUCCCCUUCCCCUGAUAAGCCAGACAGGUAAUUUUUAGCCACAUUUUCUUUUUUGACAGACCAAAGCUCUAGCACAUGAUUGAGAUGAUCUGUAGUCGGCAUCAAGUGUCAGUUCUCCAUUGCUUGUGUGGAUUAUCCGUGCGGCAUAUUGGCCACGGUCAAUGUGUAAGCCCUGGCUGGUUGCCAUUUGCCACCCAGCCAGAGACCACCUCAAGGCUUCCACCUUGUGCCCUCGCUUGGGGAAGUGUUCAGGGAAUGUGAUUUCAUUUCAUAAUUAACUGGAGUGAUGCACGGUGCAUUUCUUCAUGCAUUAUUGUGGCAGGGCAGUUAUCACUCAGAAUUGGCCGUCCCUGGACUGCUUUGAAAAUCCGUAGGUGAAUUUGUUGGUCCUGAGUUGGCCUGUCCUCACUCCAGUGUGAGUAUUUCAAUCCUGCAGGAUUUUUUUUUCAUUUUGUGUGAAAUGAAGUAGGUGAAGGUGUGUUAAAACCCAUCUUCUUGUCUCCCAAAGCACUUCUGUAGAUGCAUGACUCUGCACUUGACCUUGAGGUUCUCGGACGUGGGGACUAGGCUUUUAUCUCCAUUGCCUCAGCACGUGCUUUAUACCAUAGUUGACGUUCAGUAAACAUUUGUUGAAAUAACAAAGGCAUUACUUUCAUUAUAAAUGGUUUUAAAAGAGAACUUGUGCUGACUUUAAUAUCUUCAUUGAUGCCGACAGAAUUGUGCUCAACGCGGUGAGUCUUUGCAAAGGGUCAGGAUGGCCCUUUGACAGAGCUGACUCAGGGUGGUCUUGGAGGAGGUGAGGUGCAGAUAUAUCCUGCUGCUGACAUGGUGAUAGCUCCAGAGCUCAUCCUGAGGCUUGUGUGAGCUGCUGUUCUAUGUGAACGCUUUGCUAUUUUCCAACUAAUUAUUCGAUAGUCAUGGAUGAAGAGUGUUUUCUGACCAGAGCAUUUAGAUGCUUACAAAUAAAAGUGGGUUUUGACCCCCCAGUUUUCCAUCCCUCGAUGGCAGGCAGAAUUGGAAGGCACCAGCUCCAGCCUGCAUGUUCCCAGAUCACUUGUAAGAGUUCUUAAAACUCAUCCAACAGGUUCUUGAUUGGGAUUUUACCUGGGUGAGAAAACAGGCCCAGAGAACCAAAGAAAUGCAGCAGCACACAGAGUUAGUAGUCUGCAUGGCUGGAAUACGAGACCAGACCACGGAGUCAGACCCCGAACCGCGCGCUGAGCCACUACCCUCCACUGCUUCUCAGUAGAAGGCUCUUGGCCUGUGGAACGUGGCAGAACUCCUGGAACCUCUGAACACCUUUGUCAGUGGCACAACAGAGUGACACAUAGGUACCGGGAAGCUAGACGCAGAAGGAAAGAAGACAAAAGGAGCCACUGUAAUCCGACCAGAGUGCCUGUCUUUGGAGGUCCUAGUUUCUCAGCCAGUUCCUGGGGAGUCUGAUUUUAAACGACACAGAGAAGCUGGUUUUCAAAACACAGGCGUUACUUAUAAAUCAGGAAGGAUUUCAUUUACAAAUGAAUUCUGUGCUUUUGAAGGACGCUUCAAGUCCACAGUGCCUUCCAAUAUCGUUUUAAAUGUGAAACACCAUGAAAUGAUAAGCACGCUGAUCCAGGAAGAUAUAGGGAUGCUCCAGUGGGGUAUUAGGAACACUUAAUGCCUCUCAGCUAAGCCCGCAGUACAGUCUGCAUAAGUCAAGACAGGGUUCAUUCUUCCCGUGCCCACCCUCUGGUGGUCUGUCCCAGUGCAACAGAGAGACACGGAUUUCCCCCUUCAGCCAUCCUGAGAAGUCCUGGGGGGCAGGGGGGUGGGAGGGGAAGCAACAUGGUCAUGUGACUGUGCUGGGCACCAGCUCUGCAUCUGCCCUCAGCUGGGUGAAUGGAAGCAGUUGUAGGUGCUUACUCCCUGUUUGCCCCCUGAGAGCUGUGCUUGGUGAGAGCUCCCCACAGACUCAGAGCAUGGGGCCGAAAUUUUCUCCCAGAGCGUUGGAUCUGAAGCAGCAGAGAGCAUGCAGCCAGCACUUGGUAAAUAUUGGUUCCCUUCCCCUUCCUGUGUGUGAGGCGAGUUGUAGGAGUGAAGCAUCAGCAGUUCGGAAUGCAAAAAUAGAGCUCCAUGUGAGGAUGUGGCCUCUUUUCCCCGAGUGCGGACCAGAUGUCAGGCUGCCUGGUAAGGACUCGGGGAAUGCGAUGGCUUCCUUCUUUGGGGCUUCGCUGCUUCUCCCCAUAUGGAGAAGCCUCCCUUUCAAUGCACUUCUUGGAUCCAAAAAAACAAGAAUGAAAAGGAAGAUGGUAUAAAAGUCUUAGGAAUGAACUUCCUGUAUUCUCCCUCUUCAAAAGGACUUGUAAUGUCUUAUUUGGAUCUUAACGGCAAGUCUGAUACCUGGUCAUUAUCCCUGUUAUUUAAUAACAUAAUAAAAAUUAAUGGAGAUCCAUCAAAUGGA